ACCACAGCAGUGGAGCCUGCGGUUUAAUCGGACUCAACGCCGGGAAACUCACCAGAUAAGACAGCUGAAUGAUAGUCGGGCUGAAGACUCUACUUGACUAGCUGAGAGGAGGUGCAUGGCCGUCGUCAGUUCGUACUGUGAAGCAUCCUGUUAAGUCAGGCAACGAGCGAGACCCACGCCAACAGUUGCCAGCUCGUCCUCCGGGAUGGUGGGGACACUGUUGGGACCGCCUCUGCUAAAGAGGAGGAAGGAAUGGGCAACGGUAGGUCAGUAUGCCCCGAAUAUCCCGGGCUACACGCGAGCUACAAUGGUUGGUACAAUGGGUAUCUACCCCGAAAGGGGACGGGAAUCUCCUAAAACCAAUCUUAGUUCGGAUUGAGGGCUGCAACUCGCCCUCAUGAAGCUGGAAUCCGUAGUAAUCGCGUUUCAACGGAACGCGGUGAAUACGUCCCUGCUCCUU
rnacentral:rRNA from 1 species